CAACACCAAUAUAAAGAUUUAAACUUUAGAUAAUCUCUCAUGUGAAUUUUCAUUUCAGAAAAAAGGCGAGCUGCGCCCCGGCUGACCCGGAUGGAGGCUUCAAUUAUACACCAAAAAUACCUCCACCUGUGGAGAUUACAGCCCCCGCCGGGCGAAGGUGACCGGCGGGCGGUCAGAGCCUACGUCCGGGUAUGUGUGGGAUGAGAAAAGAAGUUAUUACACCAUCAGUUUCAUUGUCCUGGGCAGCAAUGUUUGUUGGAAGUACUUAUGUGGGUUUUUUUUAAUGUGUUUUUUUCAGGAGGCGCUCGCAAAUGGGCGUGUCCCAUAAGUAUUUCUCCAGGGUUUUUUUUUUCCAAUUAUAAUAUAUAUAUAUAUAUAUAUAAACCUUCCAUUUAUUUCUUAAUCUGCUGUUUUGUUUGUUUGUUUAGAGACCAACGUGGAGACCCCCACAGACCCCCACAGUCUAAGUACCUAUGCAGUAGUAGCACCCAGAUUUUCAGCAUAAUGGUAUUUUGCAUUGCAUUGCUGUUUUGAUGCAG
ensembl:lncRNA